rnacentral:lncRNA from 1 species
GCAUUCCACCGGAGCACGGCCCUCCUGAGCCAACUUCACGCUGCGUUCAAGCUCGCGCUCCUUCUCGCGCUCGCGCUCUUUCUCGCGUUCCCGCUCGCGCUCGCGCUCCUUUUCUUCGCGCGCGCGCUGCUCGGCCUCGCGCCGCACCUUCUCCACCAGGUCGGCCCGCUUCUUGGCCAGCUUGGAGCCCUCCAGUGGCACGAAGUACAGGUCGCUGCGCGCGCACGAGUUGAAGCCGCGAUCCAGGUGUUUGUUGAACCUGCCGGGCGUGGAAGCAGCGGGCGCUCAGGCGGUGCGAGCUGCCCGAUGGAGCCCGCAGCGCCGCGGCCCCGGCGAGUGCUUGUAGCCCCCGCCUCAAAACCACCCCUGCAGGCUGUGAGCUGCUGCGGGCCUCACUGGCCACUAGGCCUGGACGGAGGAGAGGGGCGUGCUUUUCUAAAACACUACACCAGCGCAAGGCCCCUCCCUGCUACUCCCUCUCUCGUCGCCGCCUUGUCGUCGUCCCCUUUCCAGGCCCACCUCCGCCCCACCUGGCCGCUCACCUGGCAGACUGACUGGCAUGGCUGGGUACAUCUACCACCUUGGGAGGGGGCGAGGGGCUGCGGGCUGGGGGCACCGGGCUCUCGGGGGUCUCAUACUCCUCAGCCGGCUCCUGUUUGAUCUGCGUGGCGCUCAGGGGCGGCCCUGAGGCAGGGGCCGCAGGUGGUGGUGGCAGCGAUGGCAGGCCUGAGGGCCCCGCAGGUGGCAGGGGCCCAGGUCCCACGGUGGGCGAGCCCGGCUUGAAGGUCCCUGGGCCUGCAGGUGGCGAGGUUCCUCGAUAGCCCGGUGGGGUCCCCGUUCGGAAGGAGGGAGGCGACCCGGGUUUGUAUCCGGGUGGGGUGGCUGUCUUGUAGGCCCCCGGGGACGGGGCUCUCUUUCCGUACGGUGGGGGCCCAGGUGGGGAGGCCGUUUUGUAGCCUGCUGGCGAGGAAGCCACGGUGGCAAUGACCGUGGAAAGGGUAGCCGAAGAGGUGGUGACCGUAGGCACCGGUGGGAAAGGGUAGGGCGCCCCUUGAGGGCCCUGGGAAGGGGAGGGGUGUGAACAUGGGUAGGACCCUUGAGAAGUGG